AUACGAAUACGCGACUCAGUUGAGGCUCCGUAAUUCGAAUGAGUACAAUUUAAAUCCUUUAACGAGGACCAAUCGGAGGGCAAGUCUGGUGCCAGCAGCCGCGGUAACUCCAGCUCCAA
rnacentral:ncRNA from 1 species